CAGUCGCCACGGUAAUACGUAGGUGGCAAGCGUUGUCCGGAAUUAUUGGGCGUAAAGGGCUCGCAGGCGGUUUCUUAAGUCUGAUGUGAAAGCCCCCGGCUCAACCGGGGAGGGUCAUUGGAAACUGGGAAACUUGAGUGCAGAAGAGGAGAGUGGAAUUCCACGUGUAGCGGUGAAAUGCGUAGAGAUGUGGAGGAACACCAGUGGCGGAGGCGACUCUCUGGUCUGUAACUGACGCUGAGGAGCGAAAGCGUGGGGAGCGAACAGGAUUAGAUACCCCCGUAGUCCCUGUCUCUUAUAC
rnacentral:rRNA from 1 species